rnacentral:rRNA from 1 species
AUUGAACGCUGGCGGCAUGCUUUACACAUGCAAGUCGAACGGUAACAGGUUAAGCUGACGAGUGGCGAACGGGUGAGUAAUGCAUCGGAACGUGCCCGGUCGUGGGGGAUAACGCAGCGAAAGCUGCGCUAAUACCGCAUACGAUCUGAGGAUGAAAGCGGGGGACCGUAAGGCCUCGCGCGAUCGGAGCGGCCGAUGUCAGAUUAGGUAGUUGGUGGGGUAAAGGCUCACCAAGCCAACGAUCUGUAGCUGGUCUGAGAGGACGACCAGCCACACUGGGAGUGAGACACGGCCCAGGCUCCUACGGGAGGCAGCAGUGGGGAAUUUUGGACAAUGGGCGAAAGCCUGAUCCAGCAAUGCCGCGUGCAGGAAGAAGGCCUUCGGGUUGUAAACUGCUUUUGUACGGAGCGAAAAGGCCUCCUCUAAUACAGGGGGCUCAUGACGGUACCGUAAGAAUAAGCACCGGCUAACUACGUGCCAGCAGCCGCGGUAA